AACGAACGCUGGCGGCAUGCCUAACACAUGCAAGUCGAACGAGACCUUCGGGUCUAGUGGCGCACGGGUGCGUAACGCGUGGGAACCUGCCCUUAGGUUCGGAAUAACUCCCCGAAAGGGGUGCUAAUACCGGUUAAUGUCUUCGGACCAAAGAUUUCUCGCCUUAGGAUGGGCCCGCGUUGGAUUAGCUAGUUGGUAGGGUAAAAGCAUACCAAGGCGACGAUCCAUAGCUGGUCUGAGAGGAGGAUCAUCCACACUGGGACUGAGACACGGCCCAGACUCCUACGGGAAGCAGCAGUGGGGAAUAUUGGACAAGGGGCGAAAGCCUGAUCCAGCAAUGCCGCGUGAGUGAUGAAGGCCUUAGGGUUGUAAAGCUCUUUUACCCGGGAUGAUAAUGACAGUACCGGGAGAAUAAGCUCCGGCUAACUCCGUG
rnacentral:rRNA from 1 species